GACGAACGCUGGCGGCGUGCCUAAUACAUGCAAGUAGAACGCUGAAGGAGGAGCUUGCUUCUCUGGAUGAGUUGCGAACGGGUGAGUAACGCGUAGGUAACCUGCCUGGUAGCGGGGGAUAACUAUUGGAAACGAUAGCUAAUACCGCAUAAUAGCAGUUGUUGCAUGACAACUGUUUGAAAGGUGCAAUUGCACCACUACCAGAUGGACCUGCGUUGUAUUAGCUAGUUGGUGGGGUAACGGCUCACCAAGGCGACGAUACAUAGCCGACCUGAGAGGGUGAUCGGCCACACUGGGACUGAGACACGGCCCAGACUCCUACGGGAGGGAGCAGUAGGGAAUCUUCGGCAAUGGACGGAAGUCUGACCGGGAAACGCCGCGGGAGUGAAGAAGGGUUUCGGGUCGGAAAGCUCUGUUGUAAGGGAAGAAAGAGUGUGAGAGUGGAAAGUUCACAGUGUGACGGUAUCUUACCAGAAAGGGACGGCUAACUACGUG
rnacentral:rRNA from 1 species